AGUGAACGCUGGCGGUAGGCCUAACACAUGCAAGUCGGACGGCAGCACAGUAAGAGCUUGCUCUUACGGGUGGCGAGUGGCGGACGGGUGAGGAAUACAUCGGAAUCUACUUUUUCGUGGGGGAUAACGUAGGGAAACUUACGCUAAUACCGCAUACGACCUACGGGUGAAAGCAGGUGAUCUUCGGACCUUGCGCGAUUGAAUGAGCCGAUGUCGGAUUAGCUAGUUGGCGGGGUAAAGACCCACCAAGGCGACGAUCCGUAGCUGGUCUGAGAGGAUGAUCAGCCACACUGGAACUGAGACACGGUCCAGACUCCUACGGGAGGCAGCAGUGGGGAAUAUUGGACAAUGGGCGCAAGCCUGAUCCAGCCAUACCGCGUGGGUGAAGAAGGCCUUCGGGUUGUAAAGCACUUUUGUUGGGAAAGAAAAGCAGCAGGUUAAUACCCCGCUGUUCUGACGGUACCCAAAGAAUAAGCACCGGCUAACUUCGUG
rnacentral:rRNA from 1 species